rnacentral:rRNA from 1 species
UGGAUUAUCUACCCUGAGGUGGGGGAUAACCCGGGGAAACUCGGGCUAAUACCGCAUGACAUCGAGAGAUCAAAGGGGGCCGCAAGGCUCUCGCCAUGGGAGGAGUCCGCGUACGAUUAGCUAGUUGGUAGGGUAACGGCCUACCAAGGCGACGAUCGUUAGCCGGCCUGAGAGGGUGAUCGGCCACACUGGAACUGAGACACGGUCCAGACUCCUACGGGAGGCAG